GUGGGGAAUUUUGGACAAUGGGCGAAAGCCUGAUCCAGCCAUGCCGCGUGAGUGAAGAAGGCCUUCGGGUUGUAAAGCUCUUUCAGACGGAAAGAAAUAGCCUCGGUGAAUAUCCGAGGUUGAUGACGGUACCGUAAGAAGAAGCACCGGCUAACUACGUGCCAGCAGCCGCGGUAAUACGUAGGGUGCGAGCGUUAAUCGGAAUUACUGGGCGUAAAGCGUGCGCAGGCGGUUACAUAAGACAGAUGUGAAAUCCCCGGGCUUAACCUGGGAACUGCGUUUGUGACUGUGUGACUAGAGUACGGUAGAGGGGGGUGGAAUUCCUGGUGUAGCAGUGAAAUGCGUAGAUAUCAGGAGGAACAUCGAUGGCGAAGGCAGCCCCCUGGACCUGUACUGACGCUCAUGCACGAAAGCGUGGGGAGCAAACAGGAUUAGAUACCCCUGUAGUCC
rnacentral:rRNA from 1 species